rnacentral:rRNA from 1 species
AUACGUAGGGGGCGAGCGUUGUCCGGAAUGAUUGGGCGUAAAGGGCGCGUAGGCGGCCCGGUAAGUCUGGAGUGAAAGUCCUGUUUUUAAGAUGGGAAUUGCUUUGGAUACUGUCGGGCUUGAGUGCAGGAGAGGUAAGUGGAAUUCCAAGUGUAGCGGUGAAAUGCGUAGAGAUUGGGAGGAACACGAGUGGCGAAGGCGACUUACUGGACUGUAACUGACGCUGAGGCGCGAAAGUGUGGGGAGCAAACAGGAUUAGAUACCCUGGUAGUCCACACUGUAAACGAUGAAUGCUAGGUGUAGGGGGUAUCGACCCCUUCUGUGCCGCAGUCAACACAAUAAGCAUUCCGCCUGGGGAGUACGGCCGCAAGGUUGAAACUCAAAGGAAUUGACGGGG